UACAGAGGGUGCAAGCGUUAAUCGGAAUUACUGGGCGUAAAGCGCGCGUAGGUGGUUUGUUAAGUUGAAUGUGAAAUCCCCGGGCUCAACCUGGGAACUGCAUGCAAAACUGGCAAGCUAGAGUAUGGUAGAGGGUGGUGGAAUUUCCUGUGUAGCGGUGAAAUGCGUAGAUAUCUGGAGGAACACCGGUGGCGAAGGCGGCAUCCUGGACCGACACUGACGCUGAGGCGCGAAAGCUAGGGUAGCAAACGGG
rnacentral:rRNA from 1 species